AAAUAAGAAGCAAUAUUUGCAUUUAAUUUCGACUUAAAAGAUAGAGAAUACUUUUCUCCUUAUUUA
rnacentral:tRNA from 1 species